rnacentral:rRNA from 1 species
GUAGGGAAUAUUGCGCAAUGGACGAAAGUCUGACGCAGCGACGCCGCGUGAGUGAUGAAGGCCUUAGGGUCGUAAAGCUCUGUUGAAUGGGAAGAAAAAAAUGACGGUACCAUUCGAGGAAGGACCGGCUAACUUCGUGCAAGCAGCCGCGGUAAUACGAGGGGUCCUAGCGUUGUUCGGAAUCAUUGGGCGUAAAGGGUGUGUAGGUGGCCAUGUAAGUCAGGUGUGAAAGCCCCGGGCUCAACCCGGGAAGUGCACUUGAUACUGCGUGGCUUGAGUACCGAAGAGGGUAGUGGAAUUCCAGGUGUAGUGGUGAAAUACGUAGAUAUCUGGAGGAACACCGGUGGCGAAGGCGGCUACCUGGUCGAGUACUGACACUGAGACACGAAAGCAUGGGGAUCAAACAGGAUUAGAUACCCCGGUAGUCC